CUAAAUGAGAGAAAGCAAAGGGAGCUGAGAAAUUCUCACAGGCAUUUUGAUUUUACAGAUGCCUACUAACACAUGACCUUGAAUAAAAAAGCAUCCAACCCUGGAGCCCUGCAACUACAGGAAUCAGAUUUCUUGGCUGCAAAUGGAUUUUUCAAUGAUGAGCAAGAGGAAAUAACGAAGAUGGAAGCAAUCACUAAAACUAGGCUCCAAUUGUUAUCAGCAUAUCAAUAUUUGCAUUUUAGGCCUCAUGGAGCUAUACAGAGGACAUUUGCCUUAUUAGCAAGGCUUCAUGAGCCGUAAAGGAUUUUGUUUUCCAUGAUUCAUUGUUUAACAAAAUGUCAUAGGAACCGGGCCCAUUUGCCUUUUAAAGCCACCUGUCUUCUGACAGAAACAGGUGUGCUGUGUAGGUAGUGUCCUCAGUGUAAAGAUGAGCUGACCAAAGAAAUGCCUCUCGAGACGUACCAGUAUGAGGGAGAAAGUGAUACUCUGACAGCUUGGCUGUUAGAGUAUGAGCAUAAGAUUUAUGAGGCCUCUCUGCACUGCCACCUGUGAGGCUAAGAACUGAGCUCAAAUGUGGGAAGAGGCCAGUGGACAGCAACUUCCAGAUUGAUAUUUCUGAAUGAUUAUCUGUUAACUGAUCUUGAUUAAAGUCAUGUUGUAUACCAAUCCAGAUAUGCCAAAUGUUUACCAUUUAAUUGCUUUUUCAUUGCAUAGAGUUUAAAUUAAUUCAACACCCAUCUCCCCCCCCCCUUUUUUUCUUUCCAUGUCCGGCUCUCCUCUGGUUUUACAAAUAUAGGAAGAUCAGGGAAUCAUGGGAUAUGAUAUAUUUUUUUUUCUGGAACAUAUAAUCUAUUCUUUAGCAUUUAAAUAGUUGUUUAAGCAGUUUCUGACACAUUACAUACAUUUAAUAAAUAUGGCUGUUGCUUUUGCUUAAUUAACUUUUAUUGUAUAUAAAACAAUAGGUCAGAACAUUUGGUGUUAAAAUACUACUAAGCAUUUGGGAAACUGUAGUGACUCAAUUCUCUUGUGAUAAUUAUUGUAUAUUUAUCCAGAAGGGUAGUUUAGAGAAGGGAAUGGUAUAUACCAAGGGCACCUCUUAUGAGCCAGGAUCUGCUUAAGAACAUUCACAUAUAUUGUCAUAUAAUGAAAGAAACAAUAAAACAAAAAUUAGUUAUGUCUACUUUGCUACAUUGAUAGCAAAAUUUACUUCUACAGCACCACAGGCCUGGAAAACCAAAUGUUAAAUAGCAAGUCGAGUAUUUUGAUUGACUAUCAACUCUGUUUUGAACAAAAAAGGACAAGCUCAUACCAAGGAAGUGUAAUGUUAGUGAAUCAGAGAGGAGAAAGAUGUCAUUUUGUGAUAACGGAUUUAAAGUUGGGUAAAUAGGAGUGAUGGAGUCUAUGGUGUGUUCUAGGGAAAUUUUGCUUCUCAUACUUGUAUUUAGAAAUGCUGACUUCAACCAAAAGAAGUCAGAAGCAUGAAUUUUUCUUGUAACACUCACAGAAUUUAGUUGGUGGCAACUGAUGUGAAUCUGGACAAGUAGUGAGAUUAAAUAAUUGUAUUUAAUUGUCAUAAAACCAUGGAGAUUUAAGUUUAGUCCUUAGAGGACACAGUUUCAUUUCUAUUUCUAAAGUAAAUGAAAUGUUUCAAUGUAAAAGAUUAAAUAAAUAAAAUAUAUGAGUG